GCAAAAUUCGAACAGACUUUCCCGACCCAAAUCAACUCCUCUCCCGCACCUACCUCUCUGUCGCGACCUUGGUUCCUCGGUCCCCGAUGCCCGCCGUCUCUCGCCGUCGUGCCGUCCAACGCCGCCGCAUCCUCCGCCUCCACGCACUGAGCAAGCUUCUUCGUAGGCCCCUCCACCGGAUACCUACCAGCGCCCCGCCUUUCUGCCCCCGAGUGCGGCGUGGCGGCUAACCCUAGGUGUGGGGUUCGGCACGGUCGCCGCCGCGGUACCGCGCCGCCGCUCCCAUCGACGAAAUCGAAGCUUCCAGACCCCACGCACGCGGCGGCGACCCGCGCCGGGAGCGGAGGGCAUGGCGGAGCCGCGGAGGGUCUCGUUCCGGGACGGCCGCCUCGCGUCGCGGAAGGCGGAGGAGGCUGCAUGGAGACGGCACCAGGCUGCAGCCACGAGCAUCGUCCAUUCCCAUCGACGAUGAGGGGCACGCAUCAUCUGGUUUUGAAGAACAGUAAGCAUUGCAGAGCGUGCUGAUGGCUUUGAUCAGCAUUUCAGAGGUAAUAGUAGUUUCGUUGUCUCCUUUGCUAGCAUUCUUCCAAGUGAAAGGGAAGCAACGUGGGUUCAUCAGUAGCGGUCGAUGAGACAUUGUCUUGUUCAUACUUCUGAGUGCAAUCGGGCACACGGAGUACUAUGGAUUAACUGUAUCGAUAUUGCCGGAAAGGGUGUUGAUUGAAAGGGUUGGAAAUGUCACCACCUUCUUGCCUUGUUCAGGGUCCUCCUAGAGGGGACACCACAUGGGUGACUUCGUUCCUCAGGAAGAACUUGAGAAGUUCAUGGCACGUUGUACUGAUCCUGCAGCACAAAAGGCUACCAAAGAAGCUGCGAGAAGGCUAAGAUUCAAGCUGACAAUAUUGGGCACACGCUUCUGUCUAAGAUGGGCCGGAGGGAAGGUUAGUCCUUGAAUACUUGAUACCAGAGUUCCACUUCUCUAGUAAAUGCCUUUUGGCAUUAUAGAAUCUUACUUAACCUAUUGGAUAUUUGGUAUACCUGACAAGGUUGGUUGGAAAGCACAUUUACAAACUCGUGUAGGAUGAUUUACUUGUCUAGUUGCACAUAUGAGCAGUUUCUAAAUGUUGCUUCAUUUCAUACUGAAAUUGGUCCUACUGUUAGGGGUGCAAGCGGCGUCCCUCAAACAACCCCGCCAAACCAAAAUUAGGCAAAAAACGUGUGUGCUGCAAUGGCUAGAUAAAAAGCUGAAUUAGGCAAAAGCAUCUGCCUGCAUCCUGUGCCCUACCUACUGUUGCUCUCUGUCUUUCUUAUCUUAUCUUUUGAAACUGCAUAAUCUGUAUUUGUCAUUUGAGUAGGACAGUGCCUAUUUGGCCUAUGUCCACAAGUUCAUAAACAAUCAAAUUGCUUGAUUUGUUUUUAAAUUUCUAAACCAACUUAGCUGGAGAGUGCCUUAACCUGUACGUAGUUGCUUGGACAUAAAUAAACUCUAAGUGCAGUCACUAUAAAUACCACUCUAAAACUCAAGUGGUAGUGACAGGAUACUUGUGUCAAACCUGACACAACAUGUACUUGGUGUAUUUAUGCAGUACAUAAAGAGUGGAACAGAAAUGGAUGUUACUGCAUUCCCCUUGAAAUCAACUGGGUACAGUAAUACUGAUAGGUAAUUUUUAUCUGUUGUACCCAUCAGUGACUAGCAGUCAUCAGUAUGUUUGCGUUACUGUUUGUGCUAAAGCUUUUCCAUAGAAGCUGCCAUUGUUAUCAUGUUGUAGGUUCAAGAUUGAUAAUCUCCUUACCUUGUUUCAUUUGCAUGCAGCACAUUUGUAUUAAUCAUAAUUCACUGAUUUUUUCACAUGUGUUAUGUUGAAAUUGCAGUGUCAUUGAUAAGAUUGAAGGCAAGGUAUAAAUGAUGCUUCGUUGCUUAAAGUCUACUACUAUAUACUUUUUCCUAUAGAACCCAAUUUUCUAUAAUGCACGACCUACUUUUUAGCCACUUUAAACAUGCAUGGGUUAAUCUCUUCAACGAGCAUGGUUAAGCUAACCCCCUAAUUCUUAUUCAUGUGCUCAGAGCCUUAACUGUCUAAUAACACAUCUCUGUUGAGCUUUUGCUCUCUAUAUACAUUUCGAUACGAGGUAUUGUUACAGGAUAAAAGUAAUUAUUCUUUAAGCCAUUAUGUUUAGUUUUGGCCUAUUACCUGUGUAGAACCAACUAAUAUUUAGUUGCUACAAAUGAUUUUAUUUUGUACUCUAAUAUCUUUCCUGUAAUAGGCUCCAUAAAGCUUUUGACCUACUGAAUUUGUAAGUGCGAAUAUUAGACGAUUUUCUUCACAUUAUUGCUGCAAUUGGAUUUUAUUUUCGCAAUGGGUAAUAUAUCUACUUCCCUGGUAUAAGGAACAUAACUACUUCUGUGUUUAGUCUGUUUAUUCUAGAUGUGAUGGUAGGAUGCUGACAUUGGAGGAACAAGCAAGCGAAUCGGGAACAAAGAACCUUGUUGGUCAGACAAGUAAGAUGGAAGCCAGUUAGAUGAACCAUGUUAGAUGAACCUUGUUGUGUAUUUUAUCUAAUGGUUUCAAACCAUGUUGUUCAUGAUGUGGCGAUGAACACUGUUGGUCAUGGAAGUUAAUUAGAUGCAUGGAUUGUGAAUCCUUGAAUGUUUCAAA